rnacentral:tRNA from 1 species
GCGGGCGUGUUGGAAUUGGUAGACAACCCAGACUUAGGAUCUGGUGCCUUCACGGCGUAUGGGUUCGAGUCCCUUCGCCCGCA